UACGUAGGCAGCGAGCGUUGUUCGGAGUUACUGGGCGUAAAGGGUGUGUAGGCGGUCCCUUAAGUUUGGUGUGAAAUCUCCUGGCUCAACUGGGAGGGUGCGCCGGAUACUGGGGGGCUAGAGUGCGGGAAGGGAAAGUGGAAUUCCUGGUGUAGCGGUGAAAUGCGUAGAUAUCAGGAGGAACACCGGUGGUGCAAACGGCUUUCUGGACCGUAACUGACGCUGAGACACGAAAGCGUGGGGAGCAAACAGG
rnacentral:rRNA from 1 species